rnacentral:rRNA from 1 species
CCUACGGGUGGCAGCAGUAGGGAAUAUUGCUCAAGGGGGGAAACCCUGAAGCAGCAACGCCGCGGGGAGGAUGAAGGUGUUCGGAGUGUAAACUCCUUUUGUUAGAGAAGAGAAUGACGGUAUCUAACGAAUAAUCACCGGCCAACUCCGUGCCAGCAGCCGCGGUAACACGGAGGGUGCAAGCGUUACUCGGAAUCACUGGGCGUAAAGAGCGCGUAGGCGGGAUAGCAAGUCAGAUGUGAAAUCCUAUGGCUUAACCAUAGAACUGCAUUUGAAACUGUUAUUCUAGAGUAUGGGAGAGGUAGGUGGAAUUCUUGGUGUAGCGGUGAAAUCCGUAGAUAUCAGGAGGAAUACUCAUUGCGAAGGCGACCUGCUAGAGCAUAACUGACGCUGAUGCGCGAAAGCGUGGGGAGCAAACAGGAUUAGAUACCCUAGUAGUC